ensembl:snRNA U6 U6 spliceosomal RNA
GUCCUCGCUUCUGUAGCACAUAUACUAAUAUUGGAACAAUAUGUAGGUUAGCAUGUCUCUGUGUAAGGAUGAGACACAAAUGAGAAGGGUUCCAUAUUUUU